AGGUAACAUCUCAGCUGUUUAGAAUUAUCUGCUUCAUGGGGAAACAGAUCAUAAUUGGAAUAUUUGCAGCCUGGCCAUGUGACAGCGCAAUACAUAGCUCUUUAAGUAGUGUUAUUCAAGCAGGCUGUGGAGCAACCACUUACUAGAGAAAUGUGCAUAACUGGAAGGGAGCCAAGGGCUGAUAGCCAAGACAAUGGAGAAAAGGCCUCAAAGACACUUCAGAGAUCUCCCAGGCAGCAUCUCUCAUCACAGACUCAGAUAUCUAGGAGAACCAGGGGAUCAAAACUAUAAAAUCAGUAGCUAAUGAACAGGACAUUUGAGAUUGCAGAAAAGAUGCCUUUGAAAGAUGAUGAAAACUGGAACAAUUGUUCAUUUUCACCAGGAUGGGCAUCAGGGAAGGGAAUCAACAGAAGCCAGAAAACUAGCACUUGAAGACUUAUGCCUUAUAAUAUUUGAUGAAAAGAUCAGAGGCAGAGAGUUCCAGAG